UACGUAGGGUGCGAGCGUUGCCCGGAUUUAUUGGGCGUAAAGGGCGCGCAGGCGGUGCUGUGCGUCAGCGGUGAAAGCUCCCGGCUCAACUGGGAGAGGGCCGCUGAUACGGCAGCACUGGAGCAAGGUAGGGGGCAGUGGAAUUCCCGGUGUAGUGGUGGAAUGCGUAGAGAUCGGGAGGAACACCAGUGGCGAAGGCGGCUGCCUGGACCUGUGCUGACGCUGAGGCGCGAAAGCGUGGGGAGCGAUCCGGAUUAGAUACCCCAGUAGUCC
rnacentral:rRNA from 1 species